rnacentral:rRNA from 1 species
UACAGAGGUCUCAAGCGUUGUUCGGAUUCAUUGGGCGUAAAGGGUGCGUAGGCGGCGCGGUAAGUCGGGUGUGAAAUCUCGGAGCUUAACUCCGAAACUGCAUUCGAUACUGCCGUGCUUGAGGACUGGAGAGGAGACUGGAAUUUACGGUGUAGCGGUGGAAUGCGUAGAUAUCGUAAGGAAGACCAGUGGCGAAGGCGGGUCUCUGGACAGUUCCUGACACUGAGGCACGAAGGCCAGGGGAGCAAACGGG